GACGAACGCUGGCGGCGUGCCUAAUACAUGCAAGUUGAGCGCUGAAGGUUGGUACUUGUACCAACUGGAUGAGCAGCGAACGGGUGAGUAACGCGUGGGGAAUCUGCCUUUGAGCGGGGGACAACAUUUGGAAACGAAUGCUAAUACCGCAUAAAAACUUUAAACACAAGUUUUAAGUUUGAAAGAUGCAAUUGCAUCACUCAAAGAUGAUCCCGCGUUGUAUUAGCUAGUUGGUGAGGUAAAGGCUCACCAAGGCGAUGAUACAUAGCCGACCUGAGAGGGUGAUCGGCCACAUUGGGACUGAGACACGGCCCAAACUCCUACGGGAGGCAGCAGUAGGGAAUCUUCGGCAAUGGACGAAAGUCUGACCGAGCAACGCCGCGUGAGUGAAGAAGGGUUUCGGAUCGUAAAACUCUGUUGGUAGAGAAGAACGUUGGUGAGAGUGGAAAGCUCAUCAAGUGACGGUAACUACCCAGGAAGGGACGGCUAACUACGUG
rnacentral:rRNA from 1 species